AUCACCUAGGAAUCUUGUUAAAGUGCACAUUCUGAUUCAGCAGGUCUGGGGCAGGGCCUAAGGCUCUGCAUUUCCAGCAAGCUCCCAGGAGAUGUUGA
rfam:Pongo abelii chromosome 1.